rfam:Schizophyllum commune H4-8 unplaced genomic scaffold SCHCOscaffold_9, whole genome shotgun sequence.
GGCCGCCUGGCGUAAUGGCAACGCGUCUGACUACGAUUUGGUAAUCAGGAGAUUGCAGGUUCGACCCCUGCGGUGGUCA